UGCCUUACACAUGCAAGUCGAACGGUAGAGGGGCAACCCUUAAGAGUGGCGAACGGGUGAGUAAUGCAUCGGAACGUGCCCAGUCGUGGGGGAUAACGUAGCGAAAGCUACGCUAAUACCGCAUACGACCCGAGGGUGAAAGCGGGGGACUCGCAAGGGCCUCGCGCGAUUGGAGCGGCCGAUGUCAGAUUAGGUAGUUGGUGGGGUAAAGGCCUACCAAGCCUGCGAUCUGUAGCUGGUCUGAGAGGACGACCAGCCACACUGGGACUGAGACACGGCCCAGACUCCUACGGGAGGCAGCAGUGGGGAAUUUUGGACAAUGGGCGAAAGCCUGAUCCAGCCAUGCCGCGUGCGGGAAGAAGGCCUUCGGGUUGUAAACCGC
rnacentral:rRNA from 1 species